rnacentral:rRNA from 1 species
GUCUGCGGUCAUACCACCCUGAAUAUAUCUAAUCUGAUCUGAUCUCAGAAGGUAAGCAGGGUAGGUCUUAGCUAAAACUUGGAUGGGAAAUAUUCAAUCCACUAGAUAUGCAAAACUCAGCAAAGA